UAAGUCCACUAAAGAGCCGUUCGAGACUAGGACGUUGAUAGGUCAGGUGUGUAAGCGUUGUGAGGCGUUGAGCUAACUGAUACUAAUGACUCGAGAGGCUUAACCAUACAACCCAGAUGGGUUUUG
rnacentral:rRNA from 2 species